GGCCGGGGCCUCGUCUUGACUGGGGACAAGAUCCUCUUUAGACUCUUGUACCCCUAAAUUUGGCGGGGAUCCGUUCCUGUCAUUUUGCUUUCUUGUCGACAAUAGCGUCGCAAGACAACAGUGGAGCUAGUAGA
rfam:Pseudomonas fuscovaginae strain IRRI 6609 Pf_IRRI_6609_contig_6.6, whole genome shotgun sequence.